AACGCGAAGAACCUUACCCAGGUUAGAAGUGCAGUGGAAGAUACCAGAGAUGGUAUCGCUCGCAAGGGCCGCUGCAUAGGUGCUGCAUGGCUGUCGUCAGCUCGUGCCGUGAGGUGUUGGGUUAAGUCCCGCAACGAGCGCAACCCUUAUCAUUAGUUGCCAACACGUAAGGUGGGGACUCUAAUGAGACUGCCUAGGUUAACUAGGAGGAAGGUGAGGAUGACGUCAAGUCCGCAUGGCCUUUAUGUCUGGGGCUACACACGUGCUACAAUGGUCGGUACAGAAGGCAGCGAAGCUGUAAAGCGGAGCAAAUCCCCAAAGCCGAUCUCAGUUCAGAUUGUGGUCUGCAACUCGACCACAUGAAGCUGGAAUUGCUAGUAAUGACGUGUCAGCAACAACGUCGUGAAUACGUUCCCGGGCCUUGUA
rnacentral:rRNA from 1 species